CGGAAAAGUUAAAACUAUACGAGUUCACGGCCUCCAUCUCCCUCAAUCUCUAAACCCUCAAUUGGAUCCAAACCGCCAUUGACGACCUGCUCUCGAACUCCGUCGAAUCUCGAUCUCAGAAGGGUUUCGUUUUCCACUCUGACAUGCUCGCUCUCUGCUAGGGUUUAUAUCCAAUUAUCGAUCUAACGGCCCGGAUCCUUGAAUUGAAGUGAAAAAUGGAAGGAGGAGGCAAUUUGGAGGCGUCGGUAGAGAAAUUGCUGAAUGUGGAGAAGCAAAUGAGGCUUGCCGGAGAUGUGGCGGGCACAAAGAAGGCCGUCACUGAGAUUCUUCAGCUCUGCUUUGAAGCACGCGCAUGGAAGACCCUCAAUGAGCAGAUUGCUGUCUUGUCCAAACGCCGGGGUCAACUUA